GUAAGGGGAGAAAAACAAUGAGAAAGAAAAUUAAAGCCAAUGUGGGGAAUAAUGACAACACAUAACAACUGGAAAUCUGGCCCAAUACACAACUGAAUGAACAGAGUCUGGUAAAAUUUGUCCCAGGCUUCAAAACUGCUUUUUCUUGGUUGUUAGUAGGAAGUACUCCUUUAUUCCUACUGACAUCAUUUUAGAAAAGAAAACAAUGCAAAGUAUUUGCAAAUUAUGCAAGUUUAUGAACUGUUUUUUGUAAUUAUAAGCUACAACUGAUAAAAUGGAGUACAGGUCUGCUGUCCAUAAGGAUCUCUACAGGGUGGGAACAUCAGGUGGGAAGUUCAGCAAAGACAAAUGCCAAGUCCUGCAACUGCGUUUGAGAACAUGCUAGUAGCUAACAGGGAAAUCCAGCUGUCCCAGUGGAUAUCAAACUGAACGUAAAGCACUGUGACCAAAGAUGAAGACCAACUGCAUCGUGAGCUGUAUGUGCAGUAUCACAGUCAGAAGAUCAAAGAAAGUGGUUAAACUCCUUGCUAAUCACACGUGAGGCCACUUCUAGAGCACUGUCCCUAGCCUGGGCUCCCUACUACAGGAGGUGCAGACAUGCUUAAGAGUCCAGAGGAAUGUAAGUGAGGGGAGCUGGAGCAUAUUGCAUAAUAUAUGAAAUUAAAGGAGUUGGACUUAGCCUGAAGAAAGAAUAUGAAAUGGGAAAUUAACUACUAUCUUUCACCAUAUGAAGAAGGGCUGCAGAAGACAUGACAUCAGACUCUUCUCAGAUGUGCACUACUAAGAAAAAAAAGGCAACAGGCACAAGUUGACACAAAAAUUUGGAUUCAAUGUAAGGAAAAAAAUUUCACAAUGAUGAACACCAAAUCCUGGAACAUCUUGCCUAAAGAUUUUAUGUGAUCAAUAUCCUUGAAGGUUUUCAAAAUUAGUCCAGACAACUGGCUCUGAGCAACUUGAUCCAGAUCUGAAGCCAGAAUUGUUUUAAGUAGUGCUUAGAUUAGAGAUCUCUAGAUCUUCCUUCAAAACAAUUUAAGAUUUAUGUAAGGUUUAAAAUAUUGCUCACUUCCAUAGAAAAUUUUGAAAAAUAAGAGACAUUACCGUAAGUUUUAUAAUGAUCUAGCCUGUGCAGGGACAAUGCAAGGGGCCAUUGUGUUUAUGAAUGGAUACUGGUCAACAAGUAAAGACAAACUCAUUGCAGGGAUUCUUCCUUAGCUUUUCAAACAUUUUGCACCUCUACUUCAGGAUCAUCUGACAAGCACAGAGCUAUCUGAGUAACAGCAACAAUCCUAUUUGGGAGGAGCAAAGAAAAACUCAAGCUACUUACCUCAGAAGUUCUUUAAAAUAACAUUUAAAAGAUUUUCUGGAGAGAAAUUUCAGCAUACAGUAAAGUCUGUGCUGUAGUUUCUAUUCCUUGUUUCAUUUAUCUUAUGCUGAUGCGGAACAUGAAAUGGUAGACAAUCUAGGUCUCUCUUUAGCUUUCUGUAACCUGUCCCAGGACUUGGUUACCUGGGUGCCAAUAAUGGAAAGCCACUAACAUGGCCCAGCUGUAUAACUUUGGCUUUGACUGUGGAGGAAAUUGCUGAGUUUUGAAAAAGAACAGUGAAAAGUGUGUAGAACAGAAGAGGAUGAUAAAAUUGAAGACAGAGGUAACAUGGUUGAGACAGUAUCUCUAAUUGCUCCAGAAUUCAGGAAGGAAAGCACUGACACGGAAGUGGAUAAAAUUCUAAAAGAAACAAAAUAAUGGAGAUGUUAGAGGAUUACAACUCAGGAUCAUCUUCUAUACCGUGCAGUAAAAUAGUUCAAUCAUUCUCCUUCCAACUAAUGUCUGCCCAGCCUGCAACCACUCUUUCAAUAUCUUGUUGGUGGGGGAAGUAUAAGAAUAAUGAAUGUCCCACGAAAUACCUGAAGUUCCCCCUGUCACUCUGUGCCUUAACCUUUGUGAUGCUAAAGACUCAGAUUUGCAACCCUACCGUUCAUCUUUCACUUACGGCUCUGUAAUCUUUUGCCUAAAUUUCUGUGAGGUUUUGUGUUUUUUUCCUUCUAUGUCAUUCUCCUACUGUCAUCCUUGUAAUUUUCAUGCCUUUACACCUCUAACGGUGUCACUUUAGGUUUCUCAUAGUAAGUGAUUGCCCUGGCAUGACAAUUACCCCUCCUUCCCUGCUUUUUCCUAUGCAUUGUUGUUUGUAAUUCAGCUUAUACUAGAGGCAAACAAGACUUAAGAAAUAACAUCUUGUGUAAUAGUUAUUUAUAUAUAUAAUAAGUAUUACUCCCCAAUACAUGUGCAUGGUGCUCAACCAAUAAUUCCUCAUCUGUGAAGAUGUCCCAGAAACUAGCUGUAAGUCAUUGAUCGCAUUAUAGGCCUCUAAACAAAAAACUGCUUGAAAUUUAUUUGACAUACGUUGCUAGCAUUUUUAAUUUAAAAUUUAAUUUUUAAACUACUGAAAAGCACUGGUGUUAUACCACAAGCUCAUUCCACAUUAAACAUCACUGCAGUGCUAGGGUACCAAUCUCAGCAUCAUUAGCAACAUAUUCUCUACGCUAAAAGUAUUAUUUCAUUUUUAUAUCUUUAGGUUUAUAAAUAUUGACCACUUUUAGAGCAUCUGAAGUUAUUUCUGCAGAUUUUAUCGUGAGCAGCACCUUGCUGUUACCUUGUGGGCUGACAGUGGGGACUCAGGUGAUGGAGGUGCUGCAGUUCACUCGCUCAUCUUCACUCCUGUGCUGUAGGAAAUCGUUGCACACAAAGCCUCUGCUUUCCCAGGAUGGCAUAGUUCAGUCAUCAACCUGGAGUUCUUAGUCCUACUGUAUAUUUGGUGAGUACAGAUCACCAGGAGAAAAAAAAAAUAAAACCUGCUGAGGACAUUUUGUCACAGCAUAUAAAUCAAAAAGCAAGUUGGAUGAAAAAGCUAAUCUAAUUACUUAUAGUCCUUAAAAUGUUCCAGACCAGAUGUUGAAAAAUGUCACAUUGACCAGCUCAGCACUGCAGGGUACUAAGCUUUUCCUCGGGGCUACUGGAGCUUGAGUCAGAUGCAUUUAAAGGAUGCCCACGGUUUGUAAAUUCAAAGGUGCAGAAACAGGCACAAACAGAAGUGAAUCUCACUGGAAGGCAUGGAAUUAAGUGGAGAUCUAAAAGCUCAGCUACUCUUUCCCUAGGUCAGAUCAGUCCAGAUGGUUUAAUUCCUGACCAGUAUCUAUGCAACGCCAUGGAUGAAGCUUUGAUAUAUCAGUAAUUUCUGAAUAUUUUCUAUAAUUUGGAAAAGAAUGACUAAAUUCCACUUCAGUAGAUUCAACAAAACAAGGGUAAAAGAAAAAGAAAAUCUGAGCAUAUGUAGAUUAUUUCUUUUCACAUUUGGAAUGGAAGGUAUCAAAAAUAGAUUAAGAUGCUUGGCUGGAAGCACUUUAUGUGACCUCAAGCCAUAGCCUGAUGCCAAACAAGAGUUUUAAAAAUCCAAUUAAAAUAAAAUAUUAAAUAUAUAAAUAAAAGUUGUAAAUAAUUCCUCACUGUCAGAUAAAAAUACAUACACAUAUACAUACACAGAAUGCACUUUUGACUUACAUUGAAGUACAUGUCAAUGGUUGAACUGAAGUUGUUAUUUUUCUGUGCAGCUUGGGAGAGAAUGUGUCUAAAUGUCAUUUAAAGUAUUAAAUAAAG
ensembl:lncRNA